AACAGACUUCUUAAUGAUCAGAAUAUAUAAAGCAUCGUGCACUACGAACCUUUGUAAUGUCUAUGUUUUCCGGUUUUCACUAUUUAUUUAUUUACGUACUUGGGAUUUUACUCACAAGCUGAUUAGUUAUCUAAACAUUAAAUUUCAUUUCCUUACUUAUUAUAACUUUAAUUCAUAAAGACAUACAUGCUAGUAAAAAAUUGCACAACACAUUCGAAAUAAGUUGCAAUUAUAAUCAAUGGUAAUAACUUGAUUCCAAAGAGAGAAGUUCGCUGAUAAAAAAAACCGUUUGUUGUUUAUUUCACAGGUUCAAAGUUCCAAUUUUUAUCGUCUUCAUAGUGCAUACGGAAUUCCUCGUGCUGACAAGGUGAAAAUGAAUGUUCUUUAGGAACGGCGUCUAAAGAAUCUUCUGGUUUUUGAAUUUUUUGGAAUAAUCGAAUAUCUACUCCAUGGGUUACCACUGCAAAGACCUUUUCGGGUACCUUGGCAAAGAAUUCUGCGAGGACACGUGAACGUUGAAUACUAGUUUUGUAAUCUGCUUUAUAUAUUUUUUCCUUCUUGGGAAAUACGGGAUCUUCAUGACAUGCUGUAUAGUCAUAACCAGGAAAUUGUUUCUCUAAAUCUUUUGUAUAUGAGCCAACAUUGCAGGCCCAAUCGCCGCAAUCUUGUAGAAGGGGGAUAACUUUCACUGGGAUAUGCUUAUCUUCAAUAUAAUGUUGAAAACCUAUUUUCAUUGUUUCUAGGGCCCGGCGCAUAGGAGAAACAAGUAUCAGUUCAAUUGGCAACUUUUCUGCAUCCAAAUCAUGUUGAAGUUGCAAAGCCUGUUUGCGUCCUUCAUCGUUUAGUAAAGGAUCAUGUUCGCGAUGAACGCCAUUUUCGUCAACAUCAUGAGAAACUUGACCAUGUCGAACAAAAUAAAUGGUUUUAUCGAUUCCUUUAGAUGCCAUUAUAAGAGUAAAAUGCUUUUUUUUAUUAUUAGAAGGAACUUACAAAAUAACGCUGCUGGCAAUUGAGGGUAUUGUAGUGUUACAAGUAUUGAAAGUACUGAUCAUAAAGUGCAGGAAGGCCCUACAAAUAUAAGGCAGAGACAGAGCUAUGAAAAGAAUAAAUACCGAAUAAGGAGUAUGACACUAUCGAGAUAGUUUGCUUCUUCAAUUACCAAAUCCGGAAUCUGUCGUUUACGUUUUGGCAUGUCAUUUCAUGUUUUAACGUAAGAAUGAUGCUAUGCUGUAUUUAACAGAACAUCUUCGAACCCGAAAAUUUUCAUAUGAUUGUAUAGCAAUCCUUAGUGCUAUGUAUAUUCAAUUAUUCACUAUAUCUAGGAGAAAUAAAGAAACUGUUUUCCUUUGUAACUU